GACGAACGCUGGCGGCGUGCCUAAUACAUGCAAGUCGAACGAGAGCGACCGGUGCUUGCACUGGUCAAUCUAGUGGCGAACGGGUGAGUAACACGUGGGUAACCUGCCCAUCAGAGGGGGAUAACAUCCGGAAACGGAUGCUAAAACCGCAUAGGUCUUCGAGCCGCAUGGCUUGAAGAGGAAAAGAGGCGCAAGCUUCUGCUGAUGGAUGGACCCGCGGUGCAUUAGCUAGUUGGUGAGGUAACGGCUCACCAAGGCCGUGAUGCAUAGCUGACCUGAGAGGGUGAUCGGCCACAUUGGGACUGAGACACGGCCCAAACUCCUACGGGAGGCAGCAGUAGGGAAUCUUCCGCAAUGGACGCAAGUCUGACGGAGCAACGCCGCGUGAGUGAAGAAGGUUUUCGGAUCGUAAAACUCUGUUGUUAGAGAAGAACAAGUGCUAGAGUAACUGUUAGCGCCUUGACGGUAUCUAACCAGAAAGCCACGGCUAACUACGUG
rnacentral:rRNA from 1 species